rnacentral:lncRNA from 1 species
UUUGACUUUUCCUUUUGAUAUUUAUCAGUCACACUAAUGUGCUUUUGCUCCCUUUGAAGUCGCUUGCAUCUCCACACAUGUUUGCUGCCGCUCUGAGACACGUUUUAUCCCAGACUGCUGAGGACACCCAUGAAGAGUCAUGGCAGGGAAGCAGCCCCUCUGCCUGUUCCCUGGCAGAAAACUGCACGGGGAAGGUCUCUGCUCCUUCCCAGACAGAUUCCUGCUUCCCACCAGGUGCCAAAGGCUCAUUUCCUGCAGACCAGAAAGGAAGAUUUUUGGAGCUGCCGAGAGAAGCGUAAUAGUUCAAAUCAACAGUUUGCUGCUAGUGCUGAAGAAGCCUGCUCUGCACGUUAGGCAGUAAACAAACUGCUCCGAGGAAGAAAGGCCUGUUUAUAAAAGCUCCUCUUGACAUUCGCCUCCUCAAACAUAGCAAAGCAUGUGCUAGAAACAGUUGCAUGAAUGAUCGAGUCUGUUUUGAGUCUCCUCUCUUCAACAACCAAGGAAAUCCCUAUGUACAAACAUUUAAACUGUAACAUCUGGAGCGCAGUAAUUUUAUCUUGAAGAUCCACAUCAAACAAACUUGCAGCUCAGCCCAAGAAGAUAUACAAAUACUUCCCCAAGGAGAGCUCGCUCUUACACCCUGGAUACCAGGAGACUUGUGAUUUAAAAGCAAGAUAAUUCAGCAUCCCUUUAUCCACACCUGACAAGAAUGCUUUCAGUGGGCGUUAGCAUGAAAUUAUCGCUCUUAACCAUGCCCAACGAAAAAGAGAUUUGUCCCAAUUAUUCAACGCAGGCUUCGAAACACCCAGCUUAAAAUUUCCAACCCCAGAAGCCCUGUGUGCCAUUUGCAGCUGGAGCUUCACCCAAGAAAUUUCACUUGGGCUGCACUAUUCUCUGUGCAGCUGAAUGGCUAAAAUAAGCACCCAGCCAUAUAUAGCGCACUAUGUUGGCACUCACAGCGGUUGGGAACGACUGGAUUCAAUUUUCCAUGGAAGAUGACAAUUAAAAUUGCUUUCUUUGGUCUAUCCCAUCCUUUAUGUUGUUUUUCUGUGCUCUCCAAGUGCAGAGUAAAUUUAGGAUGCCGAG